rnacentral:tRNA from 1 species
AGCGGGGUGGGGUAGCUAGGAAACCUUGGUCGGUGAGUUCCAAACCCGAAGAUCCCUGGUUCAAAUCCAGGCCCCGCUA